AACGAACGCUGGCGGCAUGCCUAACACAUGCAAGUCGAACGAGACCUUCGGGUCUGGUUGCGCACGGGUGCGUCACGCGUGGGAACCUGCCCUUAGGUUCCGAAUAACUCCCCUACAUGGGUGCUAAUACCGGGUAAUGUCUUCGAACAAAAGAUUUAUCGCCCUUGUAUGGGCCCGCGUUGGUUUAGCUUGUUGGUAUGGUAAAAGCCUACCAAGGCGACGAUCCAUAGCUGGUCUGAGAGGAUGAUCAGCCACACUGGGACUGAGACACGGCGCAGACUACUACGGGAGGCAGCAGUGGGGAAUAUUGGAAAAUGGGCGAAAGCAUGAACCAGCAAGGCCGCGUGAGUGAUGAAGGCGUUAGGGAUGUAAAGCACGUUUACCCGGGAUGAUAAUGACAGUACCGGGAGAAUAAGCUCCGGCUAACUCCGUG
rnacentral:rRNA from 1 species